rnacentral:rRNA from 1 species
GGAUAACGUUUGGAAACGAACGCUAAUACCGCAUGAUAUUAUUGAGCUGCAUGGCUUGAUAAUCAAAGGAGCAAUCCGCUGAAAGAUGGGCUCGCGUCCGAUUAGGUAGUUGGCGGGGCAACGGCCCACCAAGCCGACGAUCGGUAGCCGGACUGAGAGGUUGAACGGCCACAUUGGGACUGAGACACGGCCCAGACUCCUACGGGAGGCAGCAGUGAGGGAUAUUGGUCAAUGGGGGAAACCCUGAACCAGCAACGCCGCGUGAGGGAAGACGGUUUUCGGAUUGUAAACCUCUGUCCUCUGUGAAGAUAAUGACGGUAGCAGAGGAGGAAGCUCCGGCUAACUACGUGCCAGCAGCCGCGGUAAUACGUAGGGAGCAAGCGUUGUCCGGAUUUACUGGGUGUAAAGGGUGCGUAGGCGGCUUUGCAAGUCAGAAGUGAAAUCCAUGGGCUUAACCCAUGAACUGCUUUUGAAACUGCAGAGCUUGAGUGGAGUAGAGGUAGGCGGAAUUCCCGGUGUAGCGGUGAAAUGCGUAGAGAUCGGGAGGAACACCAGUGGCGAAGGCGGCCUGCUGGGCUCUAACUGACGCUGAGGCACGAAAGCGUGGGUAGCAAACAGGAUUAGAUACCCUGGUAGUCCACGCUGUAAACGAUGAUUACGGGGUGUGGGUGGACUGACCCCAUCCGUGCCGGA